UCGGCGCCUAAUGCUUUGCAUCGGGAUUCGCACUCGCCCGCGAGGAGACAAAGUGUGGCUUCCCAUUCCCAUCCUGUUGGAUCGAAGAGUUGGUAGAUUGGGAAAACGUCGCCUCUCCGCCGCGGCCGAAGGGCAUGAGAUGGGCCAUGCGAGAGAGGCCCGCCCUUCUCGAGAUUGAAACCCAUACUGAUUUUGCCGAAGACUUCAAAACGGCUUUGGGUGUUAGAAGCGAUUUGAUGAUGAGGAAAGGGAAAAUUGCUGAGGAGGAGCUCUUGAAUCUCUGAAUAACAAAAACAGGCCUUUGUUCCUGAAUCUCUGAAUCCUUGCGUGAAUCCUUUGCGAGGGUUGAACUCAAAUUAAGGAUAUAUCAGCAACCAGCAUUGCUGUUUGAUGGACAAUGAGAAGUGCCUUUCAUGGCAUUACUUCAGCAACCAAAACACAUACUGCUACAGCAUUAGUUCCUAAAGGAUAGAAAGAAAUAGUUCGUAGUAUUACUUUAAAUAUAUCAACGGACCAACACUGUUGCUUAUGAUGGAUAGUGAGUAGUUCAUCAUAUUCCCUGAUCCUAAAGUUUGGCCUUCCUUUCCCUAUUUUUAUGUUACUUCUAAAAGAGUAGUUUUCUCCAUAUUUGCUCUACGAACAAAUUUUCUUUUUCACAAGUCUACCUCAGAUAUGGAAGAAAUGAUAUAAAUGCUAUUGACUGUAGAAGUUUGAGUUGGUAAGAAUUGUCAGUCCACUUAUGGUGUAGGGCUGAAUGACCAACAUGUAUUAGGAUUAA